GCCUCCGUAGUGUAGUGGUCAGUACACUCGGCACGUAUUCGAGCGGUCCGAGGUUCGAGUCCCGGGGAGGGCA
rnacentral:tRNA from 1 species